rnacentral:rRNA from 1 species
GACGAACGCUGGCGGCGUGCCUAAUACAUGCAAGUAGGACGCAGUUGCGAACGGGUGAGUAACGCGUAGGUAACUACCUACUAGAGGGGGAUAACAAACGGAAACGAUAGCUAAUAUCGCAUACUAGUAGAUGGACCUGCGUUGUAUUAGCUAGUAGGUAGGGUAAUGGCCUACCUAGGAAACGAAUCAUAGCCGACCUGGGAGGGGGAUCGGGCACACUGGGACUGGGACACGGCCCAAACUCCUACGGGAGGCAGCAGUAGGGGAUUUUCGGCAAUGGGGGGAACCCUGGCCGAGCAACGCCGCGUGAGUGAAGAAGGUUUUCGGAUCGUAAAGCUCUGUUGUUAAGGAAGCGGUACUUAACCAGAAAGGGACGGCUAACUACGUGCCAGCAGCCGCGGUAAUAC